UCAGACGGUCGGGCGAUCGCUAAGGUAAUAUUUACCUUGGAGGAAAGUCCGGGCUCCACAGAAAAACGGUGCCGGCUAACGGCCGGCGAGGGUGACCUUAGGGAAAGUGCCACAGAAACAAAACAGCUUGCCGGCUUUUUAGUUUUCUGAAAAGUGCAAGUAAAGGUGAAACGGUGCGGUAAAAGCGCACCGCGCUUUUGGCAACAAGAGCGGUCAUGGUAAACCCCACCGGGAGCAAAACCGAAUAGGAACAGCUGACUUAAUUAUAAGUCAGAGGAUUCUGCCUCGCUGUUCGGGUUGGUUGCGUGAGACAGGUUGUAAAACCUGCCCUAGAUGAAUGAUCGCCCCAUUUCUUUCAUGAAAUUGGACAGAACCCGGCUUAUAGACCGUCUGACUCU
rnacentral:RNase_P_RNA from 1 species